GCGUCUCCCAGGAUUCUCGGGCCUAUAGGGGAGUGACAGAACUCUCGCGAGUGUGCAGGUCUUCUUCCGGCCCUGGGUCCCUGGCUCUUGCUGCCCCAGGCUGUUUGCACAUCUCUGGCAGCUUGUGGUUUCCAUCUCCUGCGGAACGGUGAGUGGAGGAUCGUCGAGGGGCAGCGAGCAUGGCCAGGGCCUUUGACGCCGCAGGCUGGGAGCUGCCUGUCUGAACGCGGAAGCCCAGGUGGAAGUUCCUCGGCCAGGAUCAAAACCAAGCCACUACAAGGACAACUUCGGAUCCUUAACCUGCUGCAUCAUAAGAGAUCAGUGUUAUGUGUUGUUAUACAGAAUAGAUGAAAAUGGUUUCACAUUAAACGUUUAAAGAAAAUAGUGCAAGGAAAAGCAUUUCAGAUAUGUUCUUUGUGUUAACAUUAGCAUUUUAGUUAAGGAGCUAGUUAAAUCAUGUUCCUCCCCAUAAGAAUAUUGAGUCAACAAGAUUUACUUAGGAACUUGGAUCUUUGCUGCCCCCGUUUCCCUACCAAUCUCUAGGAUGAUGCUCUAAUCAGUCAGAAUUUUUAUUUUUGCUGCCCAGAUAUACCAGAAUUACAGACUAUAGAUGACUUAAUCCAGGGCCUUGUGGCAGUGACCUCAGAGAACUAGCAUUGCUGCAGAGGUGCAAAUUUGAUCACUGGCCUGGGGGUGGAUUCAGUCCCUUGGUUUACAAGGUAAAAAAAAAAAAUGAGUUUUUUCAUGUUUUCUUAGUUCCUGUUACUGAAUUUUUACAACUUGCAUUUUAGAUGGUGUUUUGUACUAUGUAAUAAUGUACGUACUUGACAUCCUAAUAAACCAUACAUUGACUCUUA